GAUGAACGCUAGCGGCAGGCUUAAUACAUGCAAGUCGAGGGGCAGCAAGAUACUUCGGUAUUGUUGGCGACCGGCGCACGGGUGCGUAACACGUAUGCAAUCUACCCUAUACAGGGGAAUAGGUCCAAGAAAUUGGAAUUAAUACCCCAUAGUAUCUUUUUUUCGCAUGAUGAAAAGAUUAAAGCUCCGGCGGUAUAGGAUGAGCAUGCGCCCUAUUAGCUUGUUGGUGAGGUAACGGCUCACCAAGGCGAUGAUAGGUAGGGGUUUUGAGAGGAAGAUCCCCCACACUGGCACUGAGACACGGGCCAGACUCCUACGGGAGGCAGCAGUAGGGAAUAUUGGUCAAUGGGCGCAAGCCUGAACCAGCCAUGCCGCGUGCAGGAUGAAGAUCAUUUGAUUGUAAACUGCUUUUAUAUAGGAGUAAAGAAUUCCUGCGGGAAUUUUUGAUAGUACUGUAUGAAUAAGCACCGGCUAACUCCG
rnacentral:rRNA from 1 species